rnacentral:rRNA from 1 species
UACGUAGGUGGCAAGCGUUGUCCGGAUUUAUUGGGUUUAAAGGGUGCGUAGGCGGUCCAUUAAGUCAGCAGUGAAAUACGGCAGCUCAACUGUCGAGGUGCAAUUGAUACUGAUGGACUUGAGUACUGAUGAGGUAAGCGGAAUGGACGGUGUAGCGGUGAAAUGCUUAGAUAUCGUCCAGAACACCGAUAGCGAAGGCAGCUUACUAAGGAGUAACUGACGCUGAGGCACGAAAGUGUGGGGAUCAAACAGG